UGAGGAAUAUUGGUCAAUGGGCGGAAGCCUGAACCAGCCAAGUCGCGUGAGGGAAGACGGUCCUAUGGAUUGUAAACCUCUUUUGCCGGGGAGCAAAGCCGGGCUCGUGAGCCCGGAAGGAGAGUACCCGGAGAAAAAGCAUCGGCUAACUCCGUGCCAGCAGCCGCGGUAAUACGGAGGAUGCGAGCGUUAUCCGGAUUUAUUGGGUUUAAAGGGUGCGUAGGCGGGAUCUUAAGUCAGCGGUAAAAAUGCGGGGCUCAACCCCGUAGUGCCGUUGAAACUGAGGUUCUUGAGUGGGCGAGAAGUAUGCGGAAUGCGUGGUGUAGCGGUGAAAUGCAUAGAUAUCACGCAGAACUCCGAUUGCGAAGGCAGCAUACUGGCGCCCAACUGACGCUGAGGCACGAAAGCGUGGGGAUCGAACAGGAUUAGAUACCCUGGUAGUCCACGCAGUAAACGAUGAAUGCUCGCUGUCCGGGACUACGGUCCUGGGUGGCCCAGCGAAAGCGAUAAGCAUUCCACCUGGGGAGUACGCCGGCAACGGUGAAACUCAAAGGAAUUGACGGGGGCCCGCACAAGCGGAGGAACAUGUGGUUUAAUUCGAUGAUACGCGAGGAACCUUACCCGGGCUCAAACGUUUCAGGACGAUGCUCGAAAGAGUAUUUCCCUUCGGGGUCUGAGACGAGGUGCUGCAUGGUUGUCGUCAGCUCGUGCCGUGAGGUGUCGGCUUAAGUGCCAUAACGAGCGCAACCCCUACCGACAGUUGCUAACAGGCAAAGCUGAGGACUCUGUCGGGACUGCCGGCGCAAGCUGAGAGGAAGGCGGGGAUGACGUCAAAUCAGCACGGCCCUUACGUCCGGGGCGACACACGUGUUACAAUGGCAGGUACAGCGGGAAGCCAUAUGGCGACAUAGAGCGGAACCCGAAAACCUGUCUCAGUUCGGAUUGGAGUCUGCAACCCGACUCCAUGAAGCUGGAUUCGCUAGUAAUCGCGCAUCAGCCACGGCGCGGUGAAUACGUUCCC
rnacentral:rRNA from 1 species